rnacentral:lncRNA from 1 species
UGGAGUCUUGUAUUUUUUUUCUGAGGUGUGUACUUCACUUUUAUGUUGUAUACACAAGUAUUUUCAGAUAAAUAAAAGCAAGAACAUUAGAGAGCAUGCAGGGCCCUGAAUUUGGAGAAUCUAGGCGUAUAUCUGUACAAUAUUAUUGAGGUAAUUUUGAAUUUCUGAAGCUUGGUCUGGGCUUAUGGUGCUUAGUUUUUCAGUGGGUUUUGCCGAGCAACUGAAAUUUCCAACUACUUCUAUUAGCAUUAUUGCACCUGAUCAUGGCUGAUUCUGCACUAUUCCCCUUCCUUGAUCUAUUCGUGACACAUCUAAAUUCAUUUGUGGAUCCUUACUCUGUAGUACGGGGACCCUGAGGUCCUUGGAGCCACACACGUUGCCACAUGUUAAUUAUCUUAUCGAUUGGCGUUAGUAGGAGGUAUCGAAUAUAGAUGGACUAUCUUCGUUAUUGAAUUGGCGUUAGUAAGAGGUAUUGAAUGUAGAUGGGCUAUCUUGGUUUUUGAAUGCUAGGUUGUCGGGCACUCGGGAUGAUGAUGUAUGGCCAGGGGUAGGCAAGCUCCCAAACUUGCACGAGUACCCUGACUUUUUUUUUGAGAGUACCCUCACUGGAACUUCUCAAAACUGUCUACUGUAUUAGUCUUGACGCCAAUGGUCUUGAUCUGCUUGAGUUUAUAGUAAUCAAACAUGUGUAUCCGACUAUUCGUGCUACUUGAUCCUUGCAGAAAAACAGAGAAGAAGAGGGGCUCUUGUAAGAAUCUUGUACUAACUUAUGGCUGUGAUCCUUGAGAAAAUGCGGCAGUAAGGACAAGCCAACAAAGAGGAUCUCUGCAAUGAAAGGUCAUGGAGCACCCAUAUUUUCAAUGAUGUAGACUAAGGCGCUGUGUUGGAGCUGUCUUCGUGACUAGCAAGAAGUGGAUAUUGCAGUUUGUGUUUGUCCUGAAGCAUAUUUUGUGCUUCCAGGGCAGGCAUUUUUGCCUCUGUUUUUCUAGCUGCCAUUUAGUUUGCGCCAGUAACCUAAUAUUGUGAUGGAUAAUAUCUAUGGAGUUGUGCAUAAUAAUUCUGGAGUGCCACUUCUUUUUUGUAGCUAGCAUGUAGCCCAUUAAAUUCCAGCCUAGUUCGUAGCAGGUUUGAGUAGAUAUGUAACUCACUGUAGAACGGUAUUCACGCUAAGAUGCCUGUUUAGAAUGGAAAAGAUGGCUAUUUUGUUGCAGGUUUGAGCAAACUAAUUGUAGCCUAUUAUCCCCAUUAGGGCUGUAAGCUGUAGGAAGAUGAGGACUUCAAUCUUAAUAAUGGCAAUCUGGUUCAAGAAUAAGACAGUACUUCAAUCUUAAUAAUGGUGGUACAUGGUGGUUUUAUGAGAUGUUCGUGUACAUUCUGGUGAUGGCCUAAUGUUACCUGAACAUCAUUUGUGCAUUUGAAAAGUUCAUCCAUUAAACUUACCAAGGAAAUAACUUGCAGUCCCUCAGCCUACUUUCUAAUUUGAUUUAUGGUAAGUCGAGUUAUCUAUAUUAUUAAACACAAUUUUCCUUUUCACAGGUUGGUUGAUACAUGUAUGCACAUUUUUCAGAGCAACGUGCAGUGGAAGAAGCAGCCUGUGAACUGAAAUAGUUUGCAUUGGAAACAAGUGCUGUGAGUAUGUUAUCAUUUGAUUACACAUAAUCUGUACAACCCCUGAAGUAUUUUCCAUAGUUCUCUUUGGAAUCCUUUUCUUUUUUGAUGAAACACAAGUGCCCCAAAACUGAU